rnacentral:rRNA from 1 species
GACGAACGCUGGCGGCGUGCCUAAUACAUGCAAGUCGAACGCAGUGGGGACGGGUGAGUAACACGUGGGUAACCUCCCUUCAGAGGGGAUAACACUUGGAAACAGGUGCUAAACCGAUACUGAUGGACGGACCGGCGGUGCAUUAGCUAGUUGGGGAGGUAACGGCUCACCAAGGCCACGAUGGAUAGCCGACCGGAGGGGGUGAGCGGCCACACGGGGACUGAGACACGGCCCAGACUCCUACGGGAGGCAGCAGGAGAGAAUCUUCGGCAAUUGACGAAAGUCUGACCGAGCAACGCCGCGUGAGUGAAGAAGGUUUUCGGAUCGUAAAACUCUGUUGUUAGAGAGGCGGUAUCUAACCAGAAAGCCACGGCUAACUACGUGCCAGCCGCCGCGGUAAUAC